rnacentral:rRNA from 1 species
UACGGCGGGAGCUCGCGUUAUUCGGAAUUACUGGGCGUAAAGCGUCCGUAGGCGGCUUUGUAAGUCAGAGGUGAAAGCCCGGAGCUCAACUCCGGAACUGCCUUUUAGACUGCAUCGCUUGAAUCCAGGAGAGGUGAGUGGAAUUCCGAGUGUAGAGGUGAAAUUCGUAGAUAUUCGGAAGAACACCAGUGGCGAAGGCGGCUCACUGGACUGGUAUUGACGCUGAGGUACGAAAGCGUGAGGAGCAAACAGG